AUAAACAAGAGUGCAAGAAAAGGAUGAUCAAAGGCACAGAAGAACAAGGGAAAACAAGUUAAUACACGUUUCAUUAAAUCGGAUUGUUGUGAAGACUCUUCAUUGUGUUAUUGCAAUCCCCUCGCUUCUUCGCGCAACGAGUGCCUGGCACGUAAGGAAGGCCACGACACCACAACAACCCUUCAGACAUUACAAAUCCGGCUUUUUUUAUUCGUUUAUAAGUAAUCAUUGUUUCUUUGUUUCUGAAAUAGUUUAUAUGAUCUUGCUGUUUUGCAGGGAAUCACUUUUUAAAAACAUUUUCGAAAUGCCGUUCAGUGCAAACACUUCUAGCCCCCGGUCGAUCAGCAGCUGCGCUGUAUGCUCUCUUUGGCACUGGUGUCAUGAGCAUUGCCACAACAGUGUCUGGACUCCCCCUCCCCCCCCUCCUUUUAUCCCUCCCUCUCGAUCGUGCUAUGCUGACCUUAAGCAUGUUCUGCUUACUGUCCACAUCACUGAUGAUAACGUCAGUUGCAGGUGACUCAUUCAAACCGGUAGGGGAAGGAGUUGAUCUCAUUCCCCAGGGACUGUGUCUGUCAGCAGAAAAUACGUGUUGUAUCCUCUGCAGGAUGUUGCAUGUUCCGAGACACGUUCCGACUGGGGGAAAGUUGGAUGACGUAAUGACCCUGAUGGGGACGUGAUAAUGGGACACAUACGAGAAGGUAAAUAUACUAUGGUGUUGUAGGAGUUGUGUGAAUACGUUCUAUGAUAUAGAACAUAAUAUUACCACAGGGCUGCGAGGAGCAAGCAAAGAAAAUGUAAUUUGCAAAGUCUGUGAUGCCGGAAGGGUUAAACGUCACUACAGAUGUUUUUCAGGUGAUAAGUCUGGGGAUAAAUCAGGCCACCUUCCAGAGUGUACGUACGUUCUGCUGAUAAGGCUCUCGGGAUCUGCCAGGAUCAAGGAGAACCGUUCGUAAAAAAAAUGAAAAAAAAGGAAAAUGCCAUCUUGAAUACAGGCCGUUAAGGAAUAACUACCGAUCUUUGGGCCCGCUAAAGUGAAGAUGACCUUCAUCCAGACGAGGCAUGGUGACCUUCCCCUCACAGUACUGGCUGGAGCUCCUCGCUGGGCAACACUGCUCGCGUCUGUCUGGAAACUCACCAGGAAACCUUCUGCUGCCUGCAAAACCUCUCCUCUCUUUCAUCCUCUCGUUCUCUCUCUAAAUCAUUAAACUGCUCUAUGGGUUUGGUUGUUUUUUUUGCAAGUACACAUAUAUAUUUUUUUUUGGUUACUACCUUGUAUUAUGAUCUUUUCUGCAACUGUGAACAGAUAGCAGAUACAAUAAAAAGCAUUGCAGGAUUAAGAACACUAUGCUAUAAAUCAAUCACGAGGCUCCAAGAUGUCGCGCAAUGGACAUGCUGUGUAAGAAAAGGCUUGUCUAAUUUUCUUCUUACUCUCAGAUUCAAAUUAUAUAAAAAAAAAUGCUUAAACAAAUAUAUUUUAUUAGAUUAAACUGCAUGUCCUUUUUGGUGGCGUGAGGCAAGGGUGAUACUGCGCAUGGCAACCACUACCUACCGAUUCAGACUUCCAAAGAGAUCUUCUAAACGAUGUGCUAAAGAUGAAGAAUAUUGUCCUAAACCAUCAAAGCUCUUCAUUAAGGUGUGAUGUGAAGUACUUGUAAAAUCUAAUUCAUUAUUUUCACCAUUCUCCAAUAUUUGCAUGCGCAUCUUUAGUCAGUUUGAAAACUGCGGUUGGGUGGCACCUUCUGUUGCUGGAACACAUGGUGCUAAAAAUAAAAUGGGAGUGAGAAAUACGGGGGGAUCCAGCAACCUUUCGAAUAAAGGGACGUCCAAAAUAUGAUCACGCCCGUAUGUAUGUGCGAACGUAUCCUCCAAGGUGACAAAUGUAAUGAAGUGUAGCGAAUUUUCUUCUCAUGGCUAACUCGAACCUCAUGGGAAUAGUGUAGCGUAGUAUUACUGUCAACAAACAAGGGCAUGGCCAGGCCAGGCAUAGCAUGCAGAUUGUACAAAUCUCACUAGGAUGGCGUGUGGCAUCCUCCUCCUCCCCCUCUUCCUCCUCCGGCUGCUGCUGAUCCUUCUCCUCCCCUUCGUGAGAGUUCUUACAUUGGCGGAACUCCCUAAAGGGCGACUGGGUAAUUCCGGUGAUGUAGGACAUGCCAGCUAUACUACGGGGGGCGAGGCCAGCUCUGCUACGUCAUUUUCCUAUUAUCCGCACAUGCCAACUUCGGUUUAACCAAUACGCUGACAAGGUCUCGACUAGGAAGACUGCCAAGAAACGAUGUUAGUUACUACAGGAUGAAAACCUGUGAGCAGAUUGAUCUUGGGAGGAUUUGUAAGCGAUCACGACAUCUCCUUUUCCGAGAACCGAUGCCUGGGUCGAGGGAGGGAACUGUGGUAGUGAAGCGCAAUGCAAAACCUACAGUAAUGUGCUCCCUUCCUCAGUCUUCUUGGUCGAUAGGAAUUACUGAAAUGACUUUUUGAUAUGAAUUUUCAGUAUGGGGAAAGUCUCCGUUUCUUAGGAACGUGAACGGCUUUUGCUUGUUUGUUGGUCAAGAAUGUUAGCUUUACUUAAUCGGACGGACCAUAUAGUAAAUAUAGUCUAAGCAUAAAGGGUCCCAUUUGUGGAUUACUUAAAGCAUAUUAAAUACUGUCAAACGUAAAGUAUAAACAAGUUAAUCCAUUAAUCAGACACUAAGAAUAGAAUACACGCGGUAUUUCUGAAUGACAAGAGGCCAUGACCUCCGUAAUGCAAUUUUGUUUACAUUAUCAGUUUCAUUGAGUAUGGCCCUUUCCUAUAGCGAUUUAUGUAAGAAAGCAGAAGUGCUGAAGAUGAAAAUUAAUAUGGACGCAAAGAGAAGGAACUUGGUUGAAAAACAUAUUCCUCGUAACCAUAUACAUUUAUUUCCCGUUUUCGAUUACUCACAUGUCCUAAUGUGUAUUGUUUGGACACAUAGUAUACAUAAUGGUACAUCAUGUAUCCUCGUAACCAUAUACAUUUAUUUCCCAUUUUCGAUUUCUCACAUGUCCUAAUGUGUAUUGUUUGGUACACAUAAUAUCCAUAAUGGUAGUGAAGCAGACAGCAGCUAUAGUUAGACUUUAAUUAAUCCAGCUUAGGCGAAAGUUGAACGACCUAACGUAUAUGUGCUCUUUAAUUAGAUAAAUAUCAUCGGCUGUUAAGUGCGACAUAACCGUGGGCUCUGGGCGCAGCAUGGGCAGAAGUGCAUUUCUAUGAAUAAGUCUCGCAUUAGGCUUCGAGUAAUAUCAUAAAUUAUGUAGCAUCAAAAUUUCCCACUGUUCGUUGACUGUUACUGCUAUUGUUUAUUAAAUAAGACAGAAAAUUAUUAGUGAACUUUUAUGACCGUUUCAGUUUUCGACCAAUCAGUGGCAUUGCUUAGCCUUAAGAGUAAAAAUGGCUAAAUAUAUGCCGAGUUGCAGGAGUAAUAAGUAUUAUUUUCCAUUUCGACAUCAUUACGUUCCUGCUAGUUUAAAAAAUGUAAAAUAAUUCAAUUCAGGGAAAUUGCCGAGUAGUGCCAGUAUUAAAUCAAAUUAUUUUAUGAGGUUAACGAAAGUAUAAAUGUAAGCUAGAAGAGGGAGGUAUUUUGGACCACGCAGUCAAUUCAUUUGAUUAAAGUAUAAUUUUGUAGGGAGGCAUGCCACUGCAUAAUACUGGCACACAUGUUAUAACCUGCCAUGACACUCGGUCAUAACAUGCUUCAUGCGGACAUCCGUUCUCAAUCAUGUGAACAUUUGUUCUCGGUCGAUUUUGAAAGCAACUGCAUCACACAUUGUACACCCGCUUACUUCUUUGUUUUUAUAAUGUUAUUUCCUUUGUGUCUUCUCGAAAGGACUGGCAUCCUGACUUCGCUCAUGUGACCUAAUUCUGUAAUUUAUUAUACCGAUGUCAUGAAGAGGUUACUGGUUGUUUCAUUCUUUCGUUCAGUUCGACAUCAAUGUCACUUAUGCAUUACCUUAAUUUUUUUGUAGUAAUAACUAAGAACUUCCUUUGUGAAUAUAAGCAUGAACCUGUACAGAGUAUUUUAACGAACAGAGUUAGUGACCUUUCAGAAGUCACUGACCUCAUUAGGAUAGGAGCGCGUAUUGAAGCGCACGUAAGUAGAUGUGUCAUCGUAGUUUAUUUUCUAUAACGGUUUGUAAUAUAAAAUAAACAGUGGCGAAUUAAAGGAGAAAAUAUACAUCUGUAUGAUUAUACACACACAGCUGCUCUACACGAAGAUACGUAGACUCUAAAGAAUUGUUAAAAUUGUUAAGAUUGCCUUUAAAUAUAUUUGAUGAAAGUAUCAUAUGUACUAUAUUGAGAAUAUCGUGCAUGCAAUUUGCAUAGUGAUCCGCAAAAUAUGGGUGCGGCGUGUACCCCCAGGAGGGCGGGGAACUGGUAUGAGGGAGUGGGUUGGUGUGAGGUCAACUUUACUUCGUAUGCACAUUCUUCUGUGGAUAUUUCAAAGUGCAGGUUAGGUAGAGGAUUAGUAUUAAGCAGCGAGUGAGAAUUUGUAUUAUCAUUGUUUUGUGACCAGACAACAUACGAGGCACAAAACUAGUGCUGCAUCCUAGAGCAUCGCGUAUAUCAUGCACCAUUCCUAUCAUGCAGUCUUCUUUCGCUUUGCCUUCGGUGGCAGAGCGAAUAAAGAUUAAGAAGCAUAUGUUAGUACAGCACACGAGAGGUGAGGCGAUCUCAUCAACAGGCGG